AUUCAAUCCCUGCAAAAAUCCUCUGAGGGGAGCACUUAAGAGCCUCUCAUUUUCCAAAAGAAGAAACUGAAGGAUAGAUCUCUAGAACCCUGAAGUUCCUGUGUUCUCAUUAACAAUUCUAUGACCUACUUUAGUUUUGAAUGUAAUUCCACAGCAGAUGGCUGGAACGUGGUCUGGGGGAUUAAGCGAGCCUUUUCAGAUUAAUGCCAAGAAAAUAUAUGCAGAAGAGACACCCAUGUCAUUGAACAAGAGGUUCUAAUAUUACAUAACAGGGUAGUGGUAUGUAGCUGUAGUGGUAUGUGCUCUCUCUCAAUGCUGAGCUGCAGCUCCCAGUCAGCCACUGGAUCAUGAGGGUAAAAUACGGAUACUUGACAUCUUCUUAAAGAACAUCAUGCCUGCUAAGCCAUCCAGUUUGGAUGCCCCAGUGCCUUCCACCAGCCAUUCUCAAGCCUCAUUAGAAGAGAGAGAUUGAUGACCCUGUAGCUGCAGCAUCCCAUCAUCCUGCAUUUUAGUUCAAUGCUUCAAACGUUCUUCAGGCCCAGUGUGCUUUCAGCUGUGUAUGUUAAUGACAUUUGAAGUUCUACAAUGAACCCAUCGGAGAUGCAAAGAAAAGCACCUCCGCGGAGACGGAGACACCGCAAUCGAGCACCGUCGAGUCACAAGAUGAACAAAAUGAUGAUGUCAGAAGAACAGAUGAAGUUGCCAUCCACCAAUAAGGCAGAGCCGCUGACUUGGGCACAACUAAACAAGCUGACGCAGUUAGCUACAAAAUGUCUAGAGAACACAAAGAUGACACAAACUCCAGAGAGUAUGCUGCUUGCAGCAUUGAUGAUUGUAUCAACGGUGCACCGUAUUCUGCUGGUGAGAGCAAGAGAAGGCAUGCGGAUCCCUGUGUCCAUGGACCAACCGUGGGAGGCCUCGCCAUCCGUCCAUGUUUUGACUGAAGUAUUAAAAGGCAUUUUAAAUAGAUCCAAAAGAUUCAUUUUUACUUUAAUUACAGUGAUUAUGGGAUUAAUUGCAGUCACAGCUAUGGCUGCUAUAGCAGGAGUUGCGUUGCACUCUUCUGUUCAGUCAGUAAACUUUGUUAAUGAUUGGCAAAAGAAUUCUACGAGAUUGUGGAAUUCGCAAUCUGGUAUUGAUCAAAAAAUGGCAAAUCAAAUUAAUGUUCUUAGACAAGCUGUCAUUUGGAUGGGAGACAGGCUCAUGAGCUUAGAACAUCGUUUCCAGUUACAGUGUGACUGGAAUACGUCAGAUUUUUGUAUUACACCCCAAGUUUAUAAUGAGUCUGAGCAUCACUGGGACAUGGUUAGACGCCAUCUACAGGGAAGAGAAGAUAAUCUCACUUUAGACAUUUCCAAAUUAAAAGAACAAAUUUUUGAAACAUCAAAAGCCCAUUUAAAUUUGGUGCCAGGAACUGAGGCAAUCGCAGGAGUUGCUGAUGGCCUCGCAAAUCUUAACCCUGUCACUUGGGUUAAGACCAUCGGAAGUACUAUGAUUAUAAAUUUCAUAUUAAUCCUUGUGUGCCUGUUUUGUCUGUUGUUAGUCUGCAGGUGUACCCAACAGCUCUGAAGAGACAGUGACCAUUGAGAACGGGCCAUGAUGACGAUGGCUGUUUUGUCGAAAAGAAAAGGGGGAAAUGUGGGGAAAAGAAAGACAGAUCAGAUUGUUACUGUGUCUGCAUAGAAAGAAGUAGACACAGGAGACUCCAUUUUGUUCUGUAUUAAGAAAAAUUCUUCUGCUUUGAGAUGCUGUUAAUCUGUAACCUUACCCCAACCCCGUGCUCUCUGAAACACAUGCUGUGUCAACUCAGGGUUAAAUGGAUUAAGGGCUGUGCAGGAUGUGCUUUGUUAAACAGAUGCUUGAAGGCAGCAUGCUCCUUUAGAGUCAUCACCACGCCCUAAUCUCAACUACCCAGGGACACAAACACUGCGGAAGGCCACAGGGACCUCUGCCUAGGAAAGCCAGGUAUUGUCCAAGGUUUCUCCCCAUGUGAUAGUCUGAAAUAUGGCCUCGUGGGAAGGGAAAGACCUGACCGUCCCCCAGCCCAACACCCAUAAAGGGUCUGUGCUGAGGAGGAUUAGUAUAAGAGGAAGGCAUGCCUCUUUGCAGUUGAGACAAGAGGAAGGCAUCUGUCUCCUGCCCAUCCCUGGGCAAUGGAAUGUCUCGGUAUAAAACCCGAUUGUAUGUUCCAUCUACUGAGAUAGGGGAAAACCGCCUUAGGGCUGGAGGUGGGACAUGUGGGCAACAAUACUGCUCUGUAAGGCAUUGAGAUGUUUAUGUGUAUGCAUAUCUAAAGCACAGCACUUAAUUCUUUACCUUGUCUAUGAUGCAGAGACCUUUGUUCACGUGUUUAUCUGCUGACCUUCUCUCCAUUAUUAUCCUAUGACCCUGCCACAUCCCCCUCUCUGAGAAACACCCAAGAAUGAUCAAUAAAUACUAAGGGAACUCAGAGGCUGGUGGGAUCCUCCGUAUGCUGAAUGCUGGUCCCCUGGGCCCCCUUAUUUCUUUCUCUAU
rnacentral:lncRNA from 1 species